rnacentral:rRNA from 1 species
AACGAACGCUGGCGGCAUGCCUAACACAUGCAAGUCGAACGAGACCUUCGGGUCUAGUGGCGCACGGGUGCGUCACGCGUGGGAAUCUGCCCUUGGGUUCGGCAUAACAGUUGGAAACGACUGCUAAUACCGGAUGAUGACGUAAGUCCAAAGAUUUAUCGCCCAGGGAUGAGCCCGCGUAGGAUUAGCUAGUUGGUGGGGUAAAGGCCUACCAAGGCGACGAUCCUUAGCUGGUCUGAGAGGAUGAUCAGCCACACUGGGACUGAGACACGGCCCAGACUCCUACGGGAAGCAGCAGUGGGGAAUAGUGGACAAUGGGCGAAAGCCUGAUCCAGCAAUGCAGGGUGAGUGAUGAAGGCAUUAGGGUUGUAAAGCUCUUUUACCCGGGAUGAUAAUGACAGUACCGGGAGAAUAAGCCACGGCUAACUCCGUG